GCCGCGGUAGCUCAGUGGUGGAGCGCUUCCCUGAAGAGGAAGGCGUCGGGUGUUCGAUUCACCCCCGCGGCA
rnacentral:tRNA from 1 species